rnacentral:rRNA from 1 species
UACAGAGGGUGCGAGCGUUACUCGGAAUUACUGGGCGUAAAGCGCGCGUAGGCGGCUUUUCAAGUCGAUUGUGAAAUCCCCAGGCUCAACCUGGGAACUGCAUCCGAUACUGGAUGGCUUGAAUCCGGGAGAGGGAUGCAGAAUUCCAGGUGUAGCGGUGAAAUGCGUAGAUAUCUGGAGGAAUACCGGUGGCGAAGGCGGCAUCCUGGACCGGCAUUGACGCUGAGGAGCGAAAGCUAGGGGAGCAAACGGG